GGGUCGGUAUCGCAUGGUGCGUAUCUGCGUUCCAUUACGGAAAACUUCCUGCACGCCGUCGCAGACAAUGCCGGUUCGACUCCGGCCCGGCCCU